CGUUAAAAUCGCACCUCUUCAGUGAGAAUUAACUGAAGCUCUUCUUUCUUCUCUAUUUCUUCUUUCUUUUUCCUCUCUAUUUAUUUUGGGCUGGGUCCGAGUAAAACAGAGAGAGAGAGAGAUCACUCUCCUUGUUUAUUUUCUCUUCUUUCUUCUCCUUCUUUUAUGUUCUUCUUUCUUCUCUUCUAAAACCGAGAGACCCGAGAGAGAGGGAAAUCGAUUGAGGGAAAGAGAGACCGUGGGAGAGCCGGAGAUGGAGAACCAGAGGAGGGUCGGACUACCGGAGGCCCGAUUUCCGGUGGUCGUUGCUUGAGAAGCCGACGAAGGAGAGGACCCAGAACCGGAACCCGUCAAACCCAGCAGAAACCCGACGAACUCGGAGAACCCAUGACCCGAGCCCCUUCUUUCCCUUUUCUGUGAUUCUUCUUCUUUCCUCCUUGUUUGGCCGAAACAGAGAGAGAUCGGGAGGCAGAUAUUCGUGGAGAGCCGAGACCCGUGAAGCAUAACCCGUCAACGGUGGGUCAACGGCGGGUCAACAGUGGGCCAAUCGGAGGCCCGAUCCUCUGGUGGGAGAUACUGGGUGUCGGUGAUGGGCCAGAGGCGUGAUUCUGGCCGGUCCCUGUGGCGAUUUCCGGCGAGUCGACUUCCAGUGGGUCGUUGGCCGGUUGAUCUAGGGGUGAUUUCCGGCGAUUCUGGCCGGAAAUCCGGCGACUUCCAUGGGCGAUUUUCUGAAUAUGAGCUAUUAUGAGAACUGCACCAAAAGGCUGUUUAGAGACAAAGAUUAGAGCUCAAUAGGUUUUGAAGCUAAGGACGUAUAGUUUGCAUUUUGUUUAUAGUUUAUUGUGUUUAUAACAUUUUAUGUUGACAAGAUUGCUAAUAAUUUCCAUGUAUUCCUUUGUGUUACUAUUGACACUUGUUUCCAUGUAAUUGUUCUAAGUGUUUACUUUAUAAAUGUCUAGAAGUAUU